GAUGAACGCUGGCGGCGUGCCUAAUACAUGCAAGUCGAACGAGGUGCUUUUGUAGCAAUACGAGAGUAUCCUAGUGGCGAACGGGUGAGUAACGCGUUGGUGACCUGCCCCAAAGUGCGGGAUAACAGUCCGAAAGGAUUGCUAAUACCGCAUGUGGUUAUCGGGUUUAGAAACCGAUAACUAAAGAAGCAAUUCGCUUUGGGAGGGACCUGCGUCCCAUCGGCUAGUUGGUGAGGUAACGGCUCACCAAGGCGACGACGGGUAGGGGACCUGAGAGGGUGACCCCCCACAAUGGAACUGAAACACGGUCCAUACACCUACGGGUGGCAGCAGUAGGGAAUAUUGCACAAUGGGCGAAAGCCUGAUGCAGCAACGCCGCGUGUGCGAUGAAGGCCUUCGGGUCGUAAAGCACUUUUCUGCGAGAUGAGAAAGGACAGUAUCGUAGGAAUAAGUCUCGGCUAACUACGUGCCAGCCGCCGCUGUAAUAC
rnacentral:rRNA from 1 species